ACGAGUGGCGGACGGGUGAGUAAAGUAUGGGGAUCUGCCGAAUGGAGGGGGACAACUGCUGGAAACGGCAGCUAAUACCGCAUAAAGUUGAGAGACCAAAGCGUGGGACCUUCGGGCCACGCGCCAUUUGAUGAACCCAUAUGGGAUUAGCUAGUUGGUGAGGUAAGGGCUCACCAAGGCGACGAUCUCUAGCUGGUCUGAGAGGAUGACCAGUCACACUGGAACUGAGACACGGUCCAGACUCCUACGGGAGGCAGCAGUGGGGAAUAUUGCACAAUGGGGGAAACCCUGAUGCAGCCAUGCCGCGUGUAUGAAGAAGGCCUUCGGGUUGUAAAGUACUUUCGGUAAUGAGGAAGGUGUGUUAUCUAAUAGGUGACACAAUUGACGUUAGUUACAGAAGAAGCACCGGCUAACUCCGUGCCAGCAGCCGCGGUAAUACGGAGGGUGCGAGCGUUAAUCGGAAUGACUGGGCGUAAAGGGCAUGUAGGCGGGUCAUUAAGUUAGGUGUGAAAUCCCCGGGCUCAACCUGGGAACUGCACUUAAAACUGGUGGUCUGGAGUAUUGUAGAGGAAGGUAGAAUUCCACGUGUAGCGGUGAAAUGCGUAGAGAUGUGGAGGAAUACCGGUGGCGAAGGCGGCCUUCUGGACAAAUACUGACGCUGAGAUGCGAAAGCGUGGGGGAGCAAACAGGAUUAGAUACCCUGGUAGUCCACGCUGUAAA
rnacentral:rRNA from 1 species